AGCAGCCCCCAGGAGCACCAAGUGAGAUGCCUGCCAGGCCCACUGUGUCCACUGCCCUCUGGUAGCACCUGAGGAUCAUGGGUAAAAGAGAUAACAUAUGUGAAGAGCCUAACACAAUGCCUAUUCUGUGGUUCACAGAUGAGAAAACUGAUGCUGAGGGAAGUCAAGUAAUAUGCGGAAUUAAAUCCUGGUAGAUAAAGGGGAAGACGUAAGGAAGACAAGACAAGGGACCUCAGAAACCACAAUUGAAGAAUUCCUAGGACCCCCAGGAAAGGGGCACAUCCAGAAAGGAGAUAAGAUCAGAAGCCUUUA
rnacentral:lncRNA from 1 species